AAUUCGAUACAGUUUUGUAAAUCCGAGAUAGAAUGAGAAUUAGCUAACGAGGUCUAAAUGAAAGUUGAAGAUCUCAUUAAUAGGAACUCAACGGUAAAAAGACAGACAAAAACGGAGCUCGUAUGCAAAAGUUACGGACGAAGCUUAGAGACUACUUUACUAUAAAACUCCUAUAAAUACAAGGGUGAACUCCUCAUAUUUUCUUCACACCAUAAGCCUCUCUUUCUCUCUCUAACUUCUCUCUAGCCUCCCUAAACCCCUCCCAAGUCUAGGGAACCUCCCUAUCACGAGAAGAAAGCCCCGGAGCGCCCGACGGCUCCGAGAAGAAAAGCUUUCGGCUCGGAAACGCUGCUCCAGCGAAGUCCGGUUUUUAAUAAAAACCCAUUGUUUGGUCAAGGAAAAAUUGUUUUAAGAAGUAACGAAGAGCUGUCCGAGUGCCGAGUCACCACCUUACCAGGUAGUGGCGCAUGAGCAUAGGUGUGAUGUUUUGGACGAGGGAUUACGGAUAUAGGCCUGUAGAUAUGAAAUAAUGUAGUAAGGCUUAUAUUGUACUGUUUAUGCUUUUGAUCUGUACGAACAUGACAUCCCGAGUCUUUUAAUGAAAUACAUUUCUAUGGAAAUGCUUUUGAUAAAUCUUUAUCAUAUUUUUG